CCUACGGGAGGCAGCAGUAAGGAAUAUUGGUCAAUGGGCGGAAGCCUGAACCAGCCAUGCCGCGUGCAGGAAGACGGCCCUACGGGUUGUAAACUGCUUUUGCAGGGGAAUAAACCCCGGUACGUGUACCGGGCUGAAUGUACUCUGAGAAUAAGGAUCGGCUAACUCCGUGCCAGCAGCCGCGGUAAUACGGAGGAUCCAAGCGUUAUCCGGAUUUAUUGGGUUUAAAGGGUGCGUAGGCGGCCUAUUAAGUCAGGGGUGAAAGACGGUAGCUUAACUAUCGCAGUGCCUUUGAUACUGAUGGGCUUGAAUGGACUAGAGGUAGGCGGAAUGUGACAAGUAGCGGUGAAAUGCAUAGAUAUGUCACAGAACACCAAUUGCGAAGGCAGCUUACUAUGGUUUAAUUGACGCUGAGGCACGAAAGCGUGGGGAUCAAACAGGAUUAGAUACCCUGGUAGUCCACGCCCUAAACGAUGAACACUCGAUGUUAGCGAUAUACAGUUAAGCGUCUAAGCGAAAAGCGUUAAGUGUUCCACCUGGGGAGUACGCCGCAAGGGUGAAACUCAAAGGAAUUGACGGCGUUGAGAGNGCGACGGACGACGACGAGGAGGAGG
rnacentral:rRNA from 1 species